AACAACUCUAGUUGUCCAGUGUUUGAUUUGUAAAACUGUUUCAGGUAGAGGACAAACUGGAGGCAAGGGACAGGACAA
rfam:Medicago truncatula strain A17 chromosome 1, whole genome shotgun sequence.